rnacentral:tRNA from 1 species
GGCGGCGUAGCCAAGCGGUAAGGCAGCGGUCUGCAAAACCGUUAUUCGCCGGUUCGAAUCCGGCCGCCGCCU